rnacentral:rRNA from 1 species
GACGAUCGCUGGCGGCGUGCCUAAUACAUGCAAGUCGAGCGGAACUGGGGGAGCUUGCUCCUUCAAGUUUAGCGGCGGACGGGUGAGUAACAAGUGGGCAACCUGCCCUGCAGAUCGGGAUAACUCCGGGAAACCGGUGCUAAUACAGAAUAGUUUGGCGCCUCUCCUGAGGUCUUACGGAAAGCCGUUUUAGGCUGUCACUGCAGGAUGGGCCCGCGGCGCAUUAGUCAGUGGGUGAGGUAACGGCUCACCAAGACGAUGAUCAGUAGGGGAACGGAGAGGGUGAACCCCCAAACUGGCACUGAGAUACGGGCCAGACUCCUACGGGAGGAAGCAGUAGGGAAUAUUGGUCAAUGGGUGAGAGCCUGAACCAGCCAUGCCGCGUGCAGGAAGACGGCCUUCUGGGUUGUAAACUGCUUGUAUCUGGGGAUAAAAUAUCCUUGCGAGGAGAAUUGAAGGUACCAGAGGAAUAAGCCACGGCUAACUACGUGCCAGCAGCCGCCGUAA